rnacentral:rRNA from 1 species
GACGAACGCUGGCGGCGUGCUUAACACAUGCAGGUCGAGCGGAAAGGCCACUUCGGUGGUACUCGAGCGGCGAACGGGUGAGUAACACGUGAGUAAUCUGCCCUUCACUCUGGGAUAGCCACCGGAAACGGCGAUUAAUACCGGAUACGACCACUCCACGCAUGUGGUGGUGGUGGAAACUUUUUGGGUGGGGGAUGUGCUCGCGGCCUAUCAGCUUGUUGGUGGGGUAAUGGCCUACCAAGGCUUCGACGGGUAGCCGGCCUGAGAGGGUGACCGGCCACACUGGGACUGAGACACGGCCCAGACUCCUACGGGAGGCAGCAGUGGGGAAUAUUGGACAAUGGGCGGAAGCCUGAUCCAGCAACGCCGCGUGAGGGAUGACGGCCUUCGGGUUGUAAACCUCUUUCAGCACCGACGAAGCGCAAGUGACGGUAGGUGCAGAAGAAGGACCGGCCAACUACGUGCCAGCCGCCGCCGUAA